rnacentral:rRNA from 1 species
UACGGGGGGGGGCAAGCGUUGUUCGGAAUUACUGGGCGUAAAGGGCUCGUAGGCGGCCAACUAAGUCGGAUGUGAAAUCCCCAGGCUUAACCUGGGAACUGCAUCCGAUACUGGAUGGCUUGAAUUCGGGAGAGGGAUGCAGAAUUCCAGGUGUAGCGGUGAAAUUCGUAGAUAUUCGGAGGAACACCAGUGGCGAAGGCGGCUCACUGGUCCGGUACUGACGCUGAGGUGCGAAAGCGUGGGGAGCAAACAGG